ACACACACACAGACACGCACACACUUGCUCGCACGCACACACACCAAGAUUUUUUUCCUCCUCUGCCAACGCGAUGACGGACUCUGCCCCCCAAACGGCCCUGUGCGCGCUCCCCUGAGCUGCCGGGCCGUCUGCAGCCGUCGCUGCUCCACCGCCUCGCUUGGUUUCUUCCACAUCCAGCCGGGAUUUUUAACUUUUUUAAUUUUUUUUUAUUUUUCCUCCGAUCUGAUCUGCGCCUCGCUCAAUCUUCAGGAGCUCCGUCCCGUCCCGCUCCCCUGCUGCUGGAGUGUGUGUGCGUGCGCGCGCGGGCGCGUGUGUGUGUGUGAGAGAGAGAGUGUGUUUGUGUGUGUGUGUGUGUGUGUGUGUAGCUCAGGACUGCCCCCCCCCUCACCCACCCCCUCUCCACCUCCUUUUCUUGCUCCUUCCACUAUAAACCCCAACAGCCAUGCGUUCCUGUGCAAAGAUGCUGGCCGUCGUCGUUCUCGGAAAUGUCAUGCUGCAGUAUGUCUCCUCUCAGAACGCUGGGUUUGUGAAGUCGCCUAUGUCUGAGACAAAGCUCACGGGAGACACCUUUGAGCUGUACUGCGACGUGGUCGGUAACCCCACACCGGAGAUCCAGUGGUGGUACGCUGAGGUUAACCGGGCCGACUCCUUCAAGCAGCUGUGGGACGGUGCCCGCAAACGACGGGUGUCAAUCAACACGGCGUACGGCACCAAUGGCGUCAGUGUGCUGGGCAUCACUCGCCUUACGCUGGAGGAUUCCGGGACCUACGAGUGCCGGGCCAGUAACGACCCGCGCCGCAACGACCUGCGUCAAAACCCCGCCCUCACCUGGAUCCGAGCUCAGGCCACCAUUUCCGUGUUGCAGAAGCCAAAGAUCAAUGCCUCUGAUCAGGAGAUUUUACCACCUAAAAAGCCACAGGAAGACAACCCUCCCAUCACCCUACAGUGUAACCUUACCAACUCUCCUAAUACCCACCGGGAAAGCUUCUGGAUGAAGAAUGGAGAAGAGAUCCCAAAUACAAGAAAAGGAUUGAAAAACACAGAGUUGAUACUGAGUAAACCCAGGGCGGAUGAUGCAGGGGAAUACAUGUGCGUUUACACCUUCGACAUGGCCCCCAAUGCCAAUGCCUCCAUCGAAGUCAAAGCGGCUCCUGAAAUCACUGGUCACAAACGAAGCGAGAAUAAAAAGGAAGGAGAGAACGCGCUCCUGUACUGCAAAUCUGUGGGAUACCCACAUCCCAUCUGGACAUGGCGGAAAAAAGUCAGCCAGGGAUCAUACAUAGAUGUCGACAACAGUACUGGACGCUUCUUCAUCACCAACAAAGACAAUUAUUCAGAACUGAAUAUUAUAAAUCUUGACAUCAGCACAGACCCUGGCGAGUAUAUCUGCAAUGCAACAAACAUUAUUGGAUAUAAAGAAUCAAUGUCAAUCCUACGGGUGCGCAGUCACUUGGCCCCACUUUGGCCAUUUCUGGGUGUGCUGGCCGAAAUCAUCAUCCUGGUGGUCAUCAUUGUGGUUUAUGAGAAACGCAAGAGGCCAGACGAGGUGCCAGACGGUCAACACCUCCAUGUGGUGCGACGCAGGCUUUAAUAAACUGGGGUAAAAUUGCUUUUGCUUUUUUCCCCCCUCCUCCAAAUGGCACCGUAUUCUUUAUUGGUGAUGAUGAACCAGCUGGACCAGUGAAAACAAAUUCGACUAACAACCACAAAGAUAAAAACCUGAGACAGCGGAACACCAACUGAGCAAAUAAACUUAGAAAAAAGGACUAACUGCACAUCUUGACCGUAUGAAGGUAUCCAAGGGGAGAAGACCUCCUGGCCAUUUCUAAUAAAGCAUAUCCUGCCUCACUUGGUGAACGAAACAGCAGCAUAACACUGGCAGAAAAGAACAAUAAGGACUGUCUUAAGCAUGCCUUAUUCAGUCUUAUGGUAUGUGAGUAUGUGUGGGCACAGGUGACUAAAUUCAUUCAAAUGGUGUACACAUCAUUUUUACUCUGUGCUGUUAACUUUCUCUCUUUUUUUUUUCUUCAUGUCAUCCUAAUGAGGUUAUCCUUUUUCAUACUUACAUAUCGUGUCGAAUGCAUGCAGUAACAUAACCUAAUAACAGUUAAUUUUUUUCUAUCGUUAUUUAUUUGUGUGGUGUUGCAUCAAAAAAGGAUUACCCUACGUGCAUUUUUUUAAGAAAUUCAAUCGGAGGAAAAAAAAAUACGUUCACCUGAGUUCUUUGUACAGUUUAUCAUCAAUUCAUGAAAUUUAAACAAAGGUGUUCUAUCUAAAGCUGGACUGCAAGAGCCUAGCUGUGACAGGCAGAGCAGUAUUUAAUCACAGAGAACUGUCUAUGUAUUAAAUAAUUUAAAAAGAUGGAUAAAUGUUAUUUAUUUUCUAGAGUUACCUAGAUGUCUUGUACAGGUUGCGCUGUAAGUGUUCAAAUAUUAUAAUAGCAUAUCUGUAAAAAGCAAAGAAUAUAUCUUUUCUUUAAAUUCUCUAUGUCCUCCAACAAAUGUUUCUUUUUAGUCAGAUAUGAUUCUUGUACAGCAUGGCUAUUAUCCUAUGCAAUAUGUAUUCAUAUAGAUCUAUUGAGAAUUGUAAGGUGGGGAGCGUUUGUUUUGAUGAAUUUCACAGACUAAGCUUUAAUGUUGUGGGAUCAUCAGGAUGCAGGAAUAGAAUAAAUGCACUGCUGUAGUUGCAUGACUACUCCUCCUUAAGAAAAUGGUGUAUCAGUGUGUUGCAGUGCAACUGGACCAAUAUAUAAAAGGUGGCACUUGCUGGAGCUAAAGCCAUUACAAUAAUAUGUGAGACCAACUGUUCUUUUUAAAAUAAAGGCUCCAAAAUUA